rnacentral:rRNA from 1 species
ANCCGGAUUAGAUACCCUGGUAGUCCAUGCCGUAAACGAUGAGUGCUAAGUGUNGGAGGGUUUCCGCCCUUCAGUGCUGCAGCUAACGCAUUAAGCACUCCGCCUGGGGAGUACGACCGCAAGGUUGAAACUCAAAGGAAUUGACGGGGGCCCGCACAAGCGGUGGAGCAUGUGGUUUAAUUCGAUGCUACGCGAAGAACCUUACCAGGUCUUGACAUCUUCUGCCAACCUAAGAGAUUAGGCGUUCCCUUCGGGGACAGAAUGACAGGUGGUGCAUGGUUGUCGUCAGCUCGUGUCGUGAGAUGUUGGGUUAAGUCCCGCAACGAGCGCAACCCUUAUUGUUAGUUGCCAGCAUUCAGUUGGGCACUCUAGCAAGACUGCCGGUGACAAACCGGAGGAAGGUGGGGAUGACGUCAAAUCAUCAUGCCCCUUAUGACCUGGGCUACACACGUGCUACAAUGGACGGUACAACGAGUCGCGAAACCGCGAGGUCAAGCUAAUCUCUUAAAGCCGUUCUCAGUUCGGAUUGUAGGCUGCAACUUGCCUACAUGAAGUUGGAAUCGCUAGUAAUCGUGGAUCAGCAUGCCACGGUGAAUACGUUCCCGGGCCUUGUACACACCGCCCGUCACACCAUGAGAGUUUGUAACACCCAAAGCCGGUGAGGUAACCUUCGGGGACCAGCCGUCUAAGGUGGGACAGAUGAUUAGGGUGAAGUCGUAACAAGGUAACC